AUAUUACUCCCUCCGUCCGAAAAUACUUGUCAUCAAAAUGGAUAAAAUAUAAUGACAAGUAUUUUCGGACGGAGGGAGUGAUGACAAGUAUUUUCGGACGGAGGGAGUAGUAA
rfam:Triticum aestivum genome assembly, contig: Triticum_aestivum_CS42_TGACv1_scaffold_129629_2BL